rnacentral:tRNA from 1 species
UGUGACUCCAUGGUAGAGUGUCUGCUUGGUAUGCACAAGGCCCUGGGUUAGACCCCCAGCA